ACAGGGGUAGGAUGAAGGUAGGCUGGGAGGGAGGCAGAUGAAGCAGGAGGGAGACAAACCACAGGAGGAGGGAUCCAGGGACGGAGCACAGGCUGACAGCAGAAGCCGAAGCAGGAGCUGAGAACCCCAGCAGGACGUGGAUAAAAAGUAUAUAAACCAGGGGAAGAGGCCUCAGGAGUACAAGCAUAGUAUGACACCAGGGGUCCUGAGGGCAUGAAUCCAAAUCCUGUCUGCUGUACUGCUGCUCACUGAAGGGAUGCAGCUCUGAGAGCUGGGCAGAACCUGGCUCAGACACAGCUGAGACAAAACCACUGCAUGAAAAACACCUCAGAAAGCAUGAAAGCACAAAGGGCAUAACAAGAAGGCAUAAAGGGCAGCUACAGCUCCUGCAGGCACAGAAAGCAGAAGAGCGGGAACAGGAUAGCUCCACUCUUGUUUCUCUGGCUAAGGAUGCUGUCCCUGGGCAGUGCUGUUGCUUGUUUCCACUCUACAAGGCUUGAACUAAGAAGCAGCUUCAAUUUCUGUUUUCUCAGAAGAUUUAUGAAUUAAAAGAGUUAAAUGCCUCUGCUAUUGCCUCCCUGCAAUAUGUAUCUUCAAAGCAAUCAUAGAAAUAUGUGAAGUCAUUAAUAAUCAAUCACUCAGAAAUGAUAAAAGCUGUUGCCACAUCUAAGCACAUUUGGCCAGAUAAAAUAAACAAAAAUUAAUGAGGUAAAAGAAAAAAAAUAUACUGAGAUAUAUACAAAAACGGUAAAAAAUACUAAUAGUCCUUGUUUGAUUGUUUUUUUUAAAAAACAUUGUCAUGAGAGUUUUUCCUGACUUCAUUCAUAAAACAAACAAACAAACAACAAAAAAGGAAACUAUGCAUUCAAACAUGAAUCUGUGUUGCAUAGAGUGAUUUCAGUACAACCUAGAAAUUUGGUCAAAAAAAGGAACUUGGCACACUUUGGUGGCAUUCUCUGACCUCUGCAUGAUGCUGCCUCAGAAAGCUGAGUGUGUGUGCCCAGGUGUGACACAUGCCCACCCCAGGUGACACCGAAGGAGAUCCAUCCUUGCUGCAGCUGGCCAAGGCAGUGCUGUGUUCCUCACAAACUCUACUCUUUGUGUUUCAUGACAGGAGUCCAAAACUGCCAUUUCAACAUGCUGAAACAUUUUGGGUGUUGUUCAGAGAACCAAAGAUGCUUGAAUUAAACCAGUUGCCAAUAGGUGAUUAGCCUCAAAGGCAGCUGUCCCCUACAGCCGCACUCAACAAAAGUAUUCAAUAAAAUAUCGGCCACAUUUGUAUGAGUGUGAGAGCAAAGCACGCCUGGCCACGUUCUCAGUUACAGAUGAUGAUUACAGGCUUCCAGUCAGGCAGCCAGAGACUGCUCCUUCCACUCAGAAAUCUCCAUAGCAACUACCAGUGCAACUUGCUGCCUUCAUAGCAAAUCUUAGCAAGAGCAAAAUCACCAGCAGUUUGCA